rnacentral:rRNA from 1 species
CUUGGGAUCACUCACCGUUUAGCAUGUCCACAUACACAUCAGCAGAAUGGUUCAGUAGAACGUAAGCAUCGUCACAUUGUUGAAGCUGGUCUGACUCUUUUGGCCCAUGCAUCUGUUCCGUUUCGUUUUUGGAGUGAUGCUUUCACCACUGCAUGUUUUCUCAUCAAUCGUACUCCCACUCGUGUUUUGAAUAUGAAGACUCCCAUUGAAGUUCUCCUUAAUGAACAACCGGACUACACCUUUCUCAAGGUGUUUGGGUGUGCUUGCUGGCCCCAUCUCCGUCCAUAUAACAAGCGUAAGCUCGAGUUUCGUUCCAAAAAGUGUGUUUUUCUUGGUUAUAGCUCUCUUCAUAAAGGAUACAAAUGUCUUCAU